AAUCCAUGGUUAGGGCAUUUACGUAUCAUAGAUUUGUAACGUUCCCAGGCUUCAUUUAGAGUUUCAUUUGUACUUUGAGCGAACACUGCAAUAGAUGUUUUGGCCU
rnacentral:snoRNA from 1 species